rnacentral:rRNA from 1 species
AACUAAAAUAAGAUCAGAAUUUUUUACUGUAAGUUUUAGGAAAGUAGUUUAUAAGAAUAUAUUUCUGAAAAAAAUAAGGACCUGUUAAGUGAUUGUAACUCAAGUAGACACAUGUUUUUUACACAAACAAAAAAUAAGUUGGGAUUUUUAUUCCUUUUUGUAUAACGGAUUUGAGACAGAAAUUAGUACGAAAGAGACUAUGUUUAAGAAUAGAAAAGGGAAAAGAAUGUCAAAAAUAGGACCGUGUCUAAAAAACUGGUAGUGUGACAUAUUAAGAAAUUAAAAAUAAAAACGAUCCAAGACGGGGUUAACAAUCUAAAUUACCGUAUAGAAGCUAUUAAAUUUAGCAAAAAUUUAAUACUAUGGAGUUAACAUAACAGUUUAGUUACAUAAUAAUUCAAGUUUAUAGAACUUUAAUUUAAUUAAAUAAUCAAUUAUGCGAAUGUUUAACAAAAACAUUUCUCUCGAUGAGAGUAAGCCCUGCCCUAAAACGGAUAUAAUGUAGCAAAAUUAAUAGUCAUUUAAUUGGUGAAUUGUUUGAAUGGGUGACCGACAUAAUUAUUGUGUUAAAUUAAUUAAUAUGGUAUAGUAAGUGAUAAUACUUACAAACUAAGAAAGACGAUAAGACCCUAAAAUCUAUUUUUUGUUUGUUGGGGCAACAAGGAGACUUACUUUCCAUAACUCCAGUUUGAUUAAGUUACUUUAGGGAUAACAGCAUAAUAUCUUUAUCUAAGAACAGAUUGGAAAAAGAGAGUAUGACCUCGAUGUUGAACUAAAAACUUAUUUUUGUAAAUGAAAAUUAAAAGAAAGACUGUUCGUCUUAAAGUUUUUACGUGAUUUGAGUUCAAACCGGCGGGAGCCAGGUUGGUUUCAAUCUUCUUUAGAAAAUAAAUUACUGAGUACGAAAGGAAACUAAAUAAUUACCAACAAAGUAAAUUAUAUUUUCUUGUCGAGAAAAGAACUUCUAAUUCUGCGAAAAUAGUUUUAAAAAAAUAUUUUUUUUGUAAAAAAAAGAUGAGACGUUGA